UAGGGAAUCUUCCGCAAUGGACGCAAGUCUGACGGAGCAACGCCGCGUGAGCGAAGAAGGUCUUCGGAUCGUAAAGCUCUGUUGUAAGGGAAGAACAAGUAUCAGAGUAACUGCUGGUACCUUGACGGUACCUUACCAGAAAGCCACGGCUAACUACGUGCCAGCAGCCGCGGUAAUACGUAGGUGGCAAGCGUUGUCCGGAAUUAUUGGGCGUAAAGCGCGCGCAGGCGGUCUCUUAAGUCUGAUGUGAAAGCCCCCGGCUCAACCGGGGAGGGUCAUUGGAAACUGGGAGACUUGAGUGCAGAAGAGAAGAGUGGAAUUCCACGUGUAGCGGUGAAAUGCGUAGAGAUGUGGAGGAACACCAGUGGCGAAGGCGACUCUUUGGUCUGUAACUGACGCUGAGGCGCGAAAGCGUGGGGAGCAAACAGG
rnacentral:rRNA from 1 species